GGGAUCAGAAGAGGUGCGUUAACCAGGGAGUCUGUUCGAGGUAUCCAAAUACCAAUGACAGCAGAUUAGGGGGAUUAACGCCGAGAUAGGUUUGCGUUUGGACGUAACACUUAUCGGUUGCUGGGGCUGAAUCCCCAGGACUGUCACCUAUGGUGGAGAGCUUCUGGUGUU
rnacentral:ncRNA from 2 species